rnacentral:rRNA from 1 species
UACAGAGGGGGCAAGCGUUGUUCAGAAUUACUGGGCGUAAAGGGCGCGUAGGCGGCCUGUUAAGUCAAACGUGAAAUCCCCGGGCUCAACCCGGGAACUGCGUCCGAUACUGGCAGGCUUGAAUCCGGGAGAGGGAUGCGGAAUUCCAGGUGUAGCGGUGAAAUGCGUAGAUAUCUGGAGGAACACCGGUGGCGAAGGCGGCAUCCUGGACCGGCAUUGACGCUGAGGCGCGAAAGCCAGGGGAGCAAACGGG